GGCCGUGAUGGCUCAGUGGUAGAGCUCUUGCUUCGGGUAGUGAUGAGUCUGACCAACGCUGGUUCGAUCCCGCCGGGGGCCC